rnacentral:tRNA from 1 species
CGGCCGCGUUGCGCAGGAUGACGCCGGUGUCUUCCAGGCGCCGGAUGCGCCGCUGCACCGCCGGCGUCGACAGGUUCACCGCCUGGGCGAUCAG